AGAUUGAACGCUAGCGGGAUGCUUUACACAUGCAAGUCGAACGGCAGCGCGGACUUCGGUCUGGCGGCGAGUGGCGAACGGGUGAGUAAUAUAUCGGAACGUGCCCAGUAGCGGGGGAUAACUACGCGAAAGCGUGGCUAAUACCGCAUACGCCCUACGGGGGAAAGGGGGGAUUCUUCGGAACCUCUCACUAUUGGGGCGCCGAUAUCAGAUUAGCUAGUUGGCGAGGUAAAGGCUCGCCAAGGCGACGAUCUGUAGCUGGUUUGAGAGGACGACCAGCCACACUGGGACUGAGACACGGCCCAGACUCCUACGGG
rnacentral:rRNA from 1 species